rnacentral:rRNA from 1 species
GCAAUGGGCGCAAGCCUGACGGAGCGACGCCGCGUGCAGGAUGAAGGCGCUUUGCGUCGUAUACUGCUGUCAGGGGUCAGAAAUUUUGAUCAGCCCCAAAGGAAGCCUCGGCUAACUCCGUGCCAGCAGCCGCGGUAAUACGGAGGAGGCAAACGUUGUUCGGAAUCACUGGGCUUAAAGCGCGUGCAGGCGGAAUGGAAGGCGUCCCGUGAAAGCCCCCGGCUCAACCGGGGAAUUGCGGGGCGAACCAUCAUUCUUGAGGCAGGUAGAGGCGAGCGGAACUAUGGGUGGAGCGGUGAAAUGCGUAGAUAUCCAUGGGAACGCCGGUGGCGAAAGCGGCUCGCUGGGCCUGAUCUGACGCUGAGACGCGAAAGCGUAGGGAGCAAACAGGAUUAGAUACCCUGGUAGUCUACGCCGUAAACGAUGCGCACUAGGUACGAGAGGUUCUGACGCCGAUCGUGCCGGAGCAAAAGUGUUAAGUGCGCCGCCUGGGGAGUACGGCCGCAAGGCUAAAACUCAAAGGAAUUGACGGGGGCUCACACAAGCGGUGGAGCAUGUGGAUUAAUUCGAAGCAACGCGAAGAACCUUACCUGGGUUUGACAUGCACGGAUGCCCUCCCUGAAAGGGGAGUAAGCUGCCUUCGGGUGAAACGUGCACAGGUGCUGCAUGGCUGUCGUCAGCUCGUGCUGUGAAGUGUCGGGUUAAGUCCCUUAACGAGCGAAACCCCUAUCGCUAGUUGCCAGCGGUUCGGCCGGGGACUCUAGCGAGACUGCCGGCGUUAAGCCGGAGGAAGGUGGGGAUGACGUCAAGUCCUCAUGGCCUUUAUGCCCAGGGUGUCACACGUGCUACAAUGGACGUUACAGAGCGACGCGAGACCGCGAGGUGGAGCAAAUCGCAAAAAGACGUCCUCAGUUCGGAUUGGAGUCUGCAACUCGACUCCAUGAAGUCGGAAUCGCUAGUAAUCGCGCAUCAGCCAUGGCGCGGUGAAUGUGUUCCUGAGCCUUGUACACACCGCCCGUCAAGUCAUGGAAGCUGGGAGCACGCGAAGUCCGCUUAGCUAACCGUAAGGAUGCGGCGGCCGACCGUGAGCUCGGUGACUGGGACUAAGUCGU